UNCCACGUGUAGCAGUGAAAUGCGUAGAGAUGUGGAGGAAUACCGAUGGCGAAGGCAGCCUCCUGGGAUAACACUGACGUUCAUGCCCGAAAGCGUGGGUAGCAAACAGGAUUAGAUACCNUGGUAGUCCACGCCCUAAACGAUGUCGAUUAGCUGUUGGGCAGCAUGACUGCUUAGUAGCGAAGCUAACGCGUGAAAUCGACCGCCUGGGGAGUACGGUCGCAAGAUUAAAACUCAAAGGAAUUGACGGGGACCCGCACAAGCGGUGGAUGAUGUGGAUUAAUUCGAUGCAACGCGAAGAACCUUACCUGGUCUUGACAUGUGCGGAACCCUCCAGAGACGGAGGGGUGCCUUCGGGAGCCGUAACACUGGUGCUGCAUGGCUGUCGUCAGCUCGUGUCGUGAGAUGUUGGGUUAAGUCCCGCAACGAGCGCAACCCUUGUCAUUAGUUGCCAUCAUUAAGUUGGGCACUCUAAUGAGACUGCCGGUGACAAGCCGGAGGAAGGUGGGGAUGACGUCAAGUCCUCAUGGCCCUUAUGACCAGGGCUUCACACGUCAUACAAUGGUCGGUACAGAGGGUAGCCAAGCCGCGAGGUGGAGCCAAUCUCACAAAACCGAUCGUAGUCCGGAUUGCACUCUGCAACUCGAGUGCAUGAAGUCGGAAUCGCUAGUAAUCGCAGGUCAGCAUACUGCGGUGAAUACGUUCCCGGGUCUUGUACACACC
rnacentral:rRNA from 1 species